GACAGAGGGUGCAAACGUUGUUCGGAAUUACUGGGCGUAAAGCGCACGUAGGCGGAUUGCUAAGUCAGGGGUGAAAUCCUGGAGCUCAACUCCAGAACUGCCUUUGAUACUGGCGAUCUCGAGUCCGGGAGAGGUGAGUGGAACUGCGAGUGUAGAGGUGAAAUUCGUAGAUAUUCGCAAGAACACCAGUGGCGAAGGCGGCUCACUGGCCCGGUACUGACGCUGAGGUGCGAAAGCGUGGGGAGCAAACAGG
rnacentral:rRNA from 1 species